AUGCAAAGCAAGAUCCCAUGGAUCAAGAGCAACCUCCACCACAACACCCACGUCGUGAAGCACAAGCACAUGAAGCACAACAAGCACUCCGUGAGGCUACUCGAGCCAUCCAAGAAAGCAAUCGGGAAGUACGUGAACAAGAAGAUGCACUUCGCCAAGAACGACAAGAUGAUGCCGCUCUCCUUGAGGGGCAACAAGAGAGAAGGAACCGGGCACGUAUACCUCGCCCCCCUCCACACCAAGGGCACCAUCACGAGGAGCGUGAAAUUGAAGACCCUCCUCCAUGCCAAGAGCGACAUCAAAACAGCCACUAUGAUGAAAAACUAUGCUACAAAGCUCAAGUUCACUAUGCCCAAGUUCUCCGGAAGCAAUGAUCCUGAAGAAUAUCUCUCAGGGACAUUGAAGGUCGAUAAGAUAUUCCGUCUUCACAACUAUGGCGAGGAGAAACAAAUCGCCAUGGCCUCCCUCAAGUUUCAAGACUACGUCCUCAUUUGGUGGGAACAAGUGAUCGCAAGACGAAGGGAGAGAGGCGAACCACCCAUGAAAACUUGGACACAAAUGAAGGAUGUCAUGAGAGCUCCUUUCGUGCCUAGACACUACUCCCGCGUUCUCUUCAAGAAGUUGCAACUUCUCAAGCAAGGCAUGAAGACAAUGGAAGAAUACUAUCAAAAGAUGGACAUUGCCAUGAUAUGA
rnacentral:rRNA from 1 species